rnacentral:rRNA from 1 species
GAUGAACGCUGGCGGCGUGCCUAAUACAUGCAAGUCGAGCGAACAGACGAGGAGCUUGCUCCUCUGACGUUAGCGGCGGACGGGUGAGUAACACGUGGAUAACCUACCUAUAAGACUGGGAUAACUUCGGGAAACCGGAGCUAAUACCGGAUAAUAUGUUGAAUCGCAUGGUUCAACAGUGAAAGGCGGUCUUGCUGUCACUUAUAGAUGGAUCCGCGCCGCAUUAGCUAGUUGGUAAGGUAACGGCUUACCAAGGCAACGAUGCGUAGCCGACCUGAGAGGGUGAUCGGCCACACUGGAACUGAGACACGGUCCAGACUCCUACGGGAGGCAGCAGUAGGGAAUCUUCCGCAAUGGGCGAAAGCCUGACGGAGCAACGCCGCGUGAGUGAAGAAGGUCUUCGGAUCGUAAAACUCUGUUAUUAGGGAAGAACAAAUGUGUAAGUAACUAUGCACGUCUUGACGGUACCUAAUCAGAAAGCCACGGCUAACUACGUG